rnacentral:misc_RNA from 1 species
AAGACUAUAGACCUGCGGAGUACCUGCGGAGGGAUCAUUACAUGGCGGAGAAGGUGGGCAACCUGGCCAACAUCCAGGUUGUGAUGCCUUCACGCUCUUCCACCCUUGUCUAUUUGCACCUUCUGUCGUUCCCUCGGCGGGUUUCGACCCGCCGGCGGCAACAUUGAAAAACCCUUUUUGCAGUUAGCAUUCAAUUCUUCUGAUCAAAUAUUAAAUCAUUACAACUUUCAACAACGGAUC